UGGGGAAUUUUGGACAAUGGGCGCAAGCCUGGUCCAGCCAUGCCGCGUGCAGGAUGAAGGCCUUCGGGUUGUAAACUGCUUUUGUACGGAACGAAAAGACUCCUUCUAAUAAAGGGGGUCCAUGACGGUACCGUAAGAAUAAGCACCGGCUAACUACGUGCCAGCAGCCGCGGUAAUACGUAGGGUGCGAGCGUUAAUCGGAAUUACUGGGCGUAAAGCGCACGCAGGCGGUCUGUUAAGUCAGAGGUGAAAUCCCCGGGCUCAACCUGGGAACUGCCUUUGUGACUGCAUAGCUAGAGUACGGUAGAGGGGGAUGGAAUUCCGCGUGUAGCAGUGAAAUGCGUAGAUAUGCGGAGGAACACCGAUGGCGAAGGCAAUCCCCUGGACCUGUACUGACGCUCAUGCACGAAAGCGUGGGGAGCAAACA
rnacentral:rRNA from 1 species